CUUGUAUCGUAAAGAGUUUAAAUAUUUGUCGUGAGCAAACUUUGUAUUAUUAAUGGAAUCAGCUCUUUUCACUUAAUCCCACAUCCAAAUUCUUAGAAUUUUGCGGCAUCUAAAUUUGUAAUCUGUUCAAAAUCCGCCUAUUUAAGGAAAUAUGUUGUACAUCCUCCACAUCCAGUACCAAUCCAACUUUCAUACACAGAUAUUAACAUUUGACCCCGCAAGAAGAUCGACACCGUAAAAAUGAAAACCUUAUUUUUCAUAACAAUCCUCGUCUUGGCAAUGUUUUGCAUACUUGAGGCCAACAUGUAGGUCCAUUCUGGAUUGUGAAAACAUUAGGUAAACUGUACAAAAUCCAUAGUAAAGUCUAUUGUCAUGAAUUGAGAGUGAAUUUACUCGAGAAUCCGGAGUUCAGUUUGUUUUUAAAAGAUUGAAGGUGCCUGCAAUGGGAUAAGGAGAGCACUUUGUCACGCCCGAUGUGCCCAAAAAGGGUUCGCCUGCAUUUGGCCGGAUGGCAACUGCAAGUGCGAAACUUUCGAUUGAUCAGGCAAAAUUAAUGUUGGCUUGGUUAAUGUCAAAAUUAAUUGAAUACAUGAAAAUUAAAUUUGUCGUUUCGUAAUUUGAAAUAAAAUUCUAAAAGGUGCAUAAAUAUG